GCCUGAUCAUCAAUAUAAUGAAUCUAAAUGUAAUUCACUGAGUGUUGUUCAAUGAUACUCUUCAACAAGAUAAACAUAGCAGGAUGAGUCAAGUAAAUCGUGAUUCAAUUGUCACAUAAUUUUUGCAGAUAGUCUGCAAAUUUGGAACAUCCAAGUUCACUUAUACAAAGGUAAAAAGCGCAAAUGUCCAAUCAAUUUAAUACAGGUGAAUCAAA
rnacentral:lncRNA from 1 species